GGUGAGUAACACGUGGGCAAUCUGCCCUUCACUCUGGGACAAGCCCUGGAAACGGGGUCUAAUACCGGAUAACACUCUGUCCUGCAUGGGACGGGGUUAAAAGCUCCGGCGGUGAAGGAUGAGCCCGCGGCCUAUCAGCUUGUUGGUGGGGUGAUGGCCUACCAAGGCGACGACGGGUAGCCGGCCUGAGAGGGCGACCGGCCACACUGGGACUGAGACACGGCCCAGACUCCUACGGGAGGCAGCAGUGGGGAAUAUUGCACAAUGGGCGAAAGCCUGAUGCAGCGACGCCGCGUGAGGGAUGACGGCCUUCGGGUUGUAAACCUCUUUCAGCAGGGAAGAAGCGAGAGUGACGGUACCUGCAGAAGAAGCGCCGGCUAACUACGUGCCAGCAGCCGCGGUAAUACGUAGGGCGCAAGCGUUGUCCGGAAUUAUUGGGCGUAAAGAGCUCGUAGGCGGCUUGUUGCGUCGGUUGUGAAAGCCCGGGGCUUAACCCCGGGUCUGCAGUCGAUACGGGCAGGCUAGAGUGUGGUAGGGGAGAUCGGAAUUCCUGGNGUAGCGGNGAAAUGCGCAGAUAUCAGGAGGAACACCGGUGGCGAAGGCGGAUCUCUGGGCCAUUACUGACGCUGAGGAGCGAAAAGCGUGGGGAGCGAACAGGAUUAGAUACCCUGGUAGUCCACGCCGUAAACGUUGGGAACUAGGUGUUGGCGACAUUCCNACGUCGUCGGUGCCGC
rnacentral:rRNA from 1 species